UCACGUGCAGAGAGAGGAAGCCGGGAAUGGAAUCCCGGUGCAAGCGAGGUACCAGUCACAUUGGAAAAACCGUGUGGCAAUGGGAAGACGUGAUGCGGAGUGAAAAAUAGUAACGAAGUCCGUGAGCUGUGCGUCAAGAAAAGCCGCUAUUGUUCAUACCAUACCCGUACCGUAAACCGACACAGGUGGAUGAGGAGAGAAUCCUAAGGCCGGCGGAAGAAGCAUUGUCAAGGAACUCGGCAAAAUGACCCCGUAACUUCGGGAGAAGGGGUGCCACUGAAAAGUGGCCGCAGAGAAUAGGCUCAAGCAACUGUUUAGCAAAAACACAGGUCUAUGCGAAACCGUAAGGUGAGGUAUAUGGGCUGACGCCUGCCCGGUGCUGGAAGGUUAAGAGGAGAGGUUAGCGCAAGCGAAGCUUUGAAUUUAAGCCCCAGUAAACGGCGGCCGUAACAAUAACGGUCCUAAGGUAGCGAAAUUCCUUGUCGGGUAAGUUCCGACCCGCACGAAAGGCGUAAUGAUUUGAGCGCUGUCUCGACAAUGCAUCCGGUGAAAUUGAAGUACCAGUGAAGAUGCUGGUUACCUGCGCCAGGACGGAAAGACCCCAUGGAGCUUUACUCCAGUUUGGUACUGGGAUCCGGUACUGCAUGUACAGGAUAGGUGGGAGGCUGUGAAAUAGUAACGCCAGUUAUUAUGGAGCCGCUGUUGGGAUACCACCCUUGCAGUAUUGGGUUUCUAACCAGCCGCCGUGACCCGGCGGUGGGACAAUGCCAGACGGGGAGUUUGACUGGGGCGGUCGCCUCCGAAAGGGUAUCGGAGGCGCCCAAAGGUUCCCUCAGAAUGGACGGAAACCAUUCGAAGAGUGCAAAGGCAGAAGGGAGCUUGACUGCGACACCGACGGGUGGAGCAGGUACGAAAGUAGGGCUUAGUGAUCCGGUGGUAUUAAGUGGGAAUGCCAUCGCUCAACGGAUAAAAGCUACCCUGGGAUAACAGGCUUAUCACUCCCAAGAGUUCACAUCGACGGAGUGGUUUGGCACCUCGAUGUCGGCUCAUCGCAUCCUGGGGCUGUAGUAGGUCCCAAGGGUUGGGCUGUUCGCCCAUUAAAGCGGUACGCGAGCUGGGUUCAGAACGUCGUGAGACAGUUCGGUCCUAUCCGGCGUGGGCGUAGGAUAUCUGAGAGGAGCUGUCCUUAGUACGAGAGGACCGGGAUGGACGGGCCGCUGGUGCACCGGUUAGACUACCAAGUCUAUAGCCGGGUAGCCAAGCCCGGAAGGGAUAAACGCUGAAGGCAUCUAAGCGUGAAGCCCCCCUCAAGAUGAGAUAUCCCAUCCGAAAGGAGUAAACCCCCUUGAGGACGACGAGGUUGAUAGGGCAGAGGUGGAAGUACGGUAACGUAUGGAGCUGACUGCUACUAAUAGGGUGAGGGCUUGACCU
rnacentral:rRNA from 1 species